AGGGUAGACCACUAUCCAAGCCUAAAUACUACCUGAUGACCGAUAGUGAAGCAGUACCGUGAGGGAAAGGUGAAAAGAACCCCGGGAGGGGAGUGAAACAGAACCUGAAACCUUGUGCUUACAAGCAGUGGGAGCGUAAGUGACCGCGUACUUUUUGUAGAACGGGCCAACGAGUUAUGGUAUGUAGCGAGGUUAAGAAGCUGGAGCUUCGGAGCCGUAGGGAAACCGAGUCUUAACCGGCGAGUAGUUGCAUGCUGUAGACCCGAAACCGGGUGACCUAUCCAUGUGCAGGUUGAAGCGAGAGUAAAAUCUCGUGGAGGACCGAACUUAUGUCUGUUGAAAAAGGCUAGGAUGACGUGUGGAUAGCGGUGAAAUUCCAAUCGAACCCGGAUAUAGCUGGUUCUCCUCGAAAUAGCUUUAGGGCUAGCCUCGAGUCAAGAUACACGGAGGUAGAGCACUGAAUGUUCUAGGGGCCUUCACCGGUUACCGAAAACUAUCAAACUCCGAAUACCGUAGUAUCAUACUUGGGAGUCAGACUACGAGUGAUAAGAUCCGUGGUCAAAAGGGAAACAGCCCAGACCACCAGCUAAGGUCCCCAAUGUCGUACUAAGUGGAAAAGGAUGUGGGGUCUCUAAAACAACCAGGAUGUUGGCUUAGAAGCAGCCACCAUUUAAAGAGUGCGUAAUAGCUCACUGGUCGAGAGACCCUGCGCCGAAGAUUACCGGGGCUAAAGUACGAAACCGAAGCUGUGGCUACGACGUAAGUCGUGGGGUAGGGGAGCGUUCUGUGAGGGCUGAAGUCGUUCUGUAAGGAACGGUGGACUUCACAGAAGUGAGAAUGUUGGUAUGAGUAGCGAAAAGAAUGGUGAGAAUCCAUUCCACCGAAAGCAUAAGGAUUCCUGGGCAACGAUCGUCGUCCCAGGGUAAGUCGGGACCUAAUCCGAGGCAGAGAGCGUAGGAGAUGGACAACUGGCAGAUAUUCCAGUACCGGUAAUGAUUGUUUGAGCGAUGGAGUGACACAGGAGGGCAGGCAGGCAGGAGAAUGGUUGUUCCUGUAUAAGCGUGUAGGAUGGGUUGUAGGCAAAUCCGCAACCUGUGAGUCUGAGGCGUGAUGUGGAGGUUCCGGAAACGGAACUGAAGCUGCUGACCCCACACUGUCGAGAAAAGCUUCUAGUUAGAGAAUUACCGCCCGUACCGUAAACCGACACAGGUAUGCGGGGAGAGAAUCCUAAGGUGCGCGGGAGAACCCUCGUUAAGGAACUCGGCAAAAUGUACCCGUAACUUCGGGAUAAGGGUAGCCGCUGUUGUGAAGUCUGAACAGAUGGAGCAUGAGGCGGUCGCAGAGAAGAGGCCCAAGCGACUGUUUACCACAAACACAGGUGCCUGCUAAAGAGAAAUCUGACGUAUAGGUGCUGACACCUGCCCAGUGCCGGAAGGUUAAGGAAGGAUGUCCGGAGCAAUCCAAAGCAUUCGACCGAAGCCCCGGUGAACGGCGGCCGUAACUAUAACGGUCCUAAGGUAGCGAAAUUCCUUGUCGGGUAAGUUCCGACCCGCACGAAAGGUGUAACGAUUUGGGCACUGUCUCAACGAGGGACCCGGUGAAAUUGAAAUACCUGUGAAGAUGCAGGUUACCCGCGACUGGACAGAAAGACCCCAUGGAGCUUUACUGUAACCUGACAUUGGGUUCUGAUACAUCACGUACAGGAUAGGUGGGAGGCAUGGAAGCGAGGACGCUAGUCUUCGUGGAGCCGCCGUUGGGAUACCACCCUUGAUGUAUCGGAAUUCUAACCGUAGGAGUAACGAAACUCGGGACAGUGUCAGGCGGGCAGUUUGACUGGGGCGGUCGCCUCCCAAAGAGUAACGGAGGCGCCCAAAGGUUCCCUCAAAAUGGUUGGAAAUCAUUUGUAGAGUGUAAUGGCAGAAGGGAGCUUAACUGCGAGACCUACAAGUCAAGCAGAUGCGAAAGCAGGGCAUAGUGAUCUUGCGAUCCCGAAUGGAAGGGUCGUUGCUUAACGGAUAAAAGUUACCCCGGGGAUAACAGGCUGAUCCCACCCAAUAGUUCAUAUAGACGGUGGGGUUUGGCACCUCGAUGUCGGCUCGUCGUAUCCUGGAGGUGGAAUCGCUUCCAAGGGUUGGGCUGUUCGCCCAUUAAAACGGCACGCGAGCUGGGUUCAGAACGUCGUGAGACAGUUCGGUCUCUAUCCGUAGUGGGCGUUAGAAAAUUGAGGAGAGCUUUUCCUAGUACGAGAGGACCGGAAAGGACGUACCGAUGGUGUAUCUGUUGUCACGCCAGUGGCACCGCAGAGUAGCUAUGUACGGAAGGGAUAAUCGCUGAAGGCAUCUAAGCGAGAAGCCCCCUCCAAGAUGAGUUUUCUCUAUCUUUAAGAUAUAAGAUCCCUUGU
rnacentral:rRNA from 1 species